rnacentral:rRNA from 1 species
CCCAACAGCUAGCCUAACAAUCAAAUUUCAACCUCCCAAUAUUAAUAACCCCUAACAUUUAAAUAGUAAUAAACUUAAAACAUUUUCCCACCUGAGUAUAGGAGAUAGAAAAGGAACAUUUUAAAGCUAUAGAAAAAGUACCGCAAGGGAACGCUGAAAAAGUAAGUGAAAAAACUCAGUAAAGUAAUAAAAAGCAGAGAUUACACCCCGUACCUUUUGCAUCAUGAAUUAGCAAGUCCAUAUUAAGCAAAAAGUAUUCUAGUUUAACUUCCCGAAAUUAAGUGAGCUACUCCAAGACAGCCUUUAAAUAGGGCAAACACGUCUCUGUAGCAAAAGAGUGUGAAGAGCUUCGAGUAGAGGUGAUAAACCUACCGAACUUAAUUAUAGCUGGUUGCUUAAAAAACGAAUAUAAGUUCGGCCUUUAUUUUUCUUUAUUUACCAACGAUAUAUAAAUAUCUAAACCACAAACAAGAGAAAAAUAAGGAGUUAUUCAAAGAAGGUACAGCUUCUUUGAAACAAUAAACAACUUUACAGGGCGGAUAAAGAUCAUAACUAAUUAAGAUAAAUAUCCUAGUGGGCCUAAAAGCAGCCACCUAAUAAGAUAGCGUUAAAGCUCAAACAUUAUUCUAUCAAUAAUAACGAAAACUGUAUCGCAUUCCCCCAAGUCUAUUAAGCUAUUCUAUUUUCAAUAGAAGAAAUUAUGCUAAUAUGAGUAAUAAGAGAUAUCUCUCCGGGCACAAGUGUAUUUCGGAACGGAAAAUUCCACCGAAAGUUAAUCGAACCCAACAAAAGAGGGUAUUGAAACAAAAACAGAUAACUAGAAAAUACUUCAAUAUAUAACCGUUAAUCCUACACUGGUGUGCACCCACGGAAAGACUAAAAAAAANGAGAAGGAACUCGGCAAACAUAUAAUUUAAGCCUCGCCUGUUUACCAAAAACAUCGCCUCUUGAUUAAUCAAUAUAAGAGGUCCCGCCUGCCCUGUGACUUAGUGUUUAACGGCCGCGGUAUUUUGACCGUGCAAAGGUAGCGCAAUCAAUUGUCUUUUAAAUGAAGGCCUGUAUGAAUGGCAUAACGAGGGCUUAACUGUCUCCUUUUUUCAGUCAAUGAAAUUGAUCUUCCCGUGCAGAAGCGGGAAUAAAAACAUAAGACGAGAAGACCCUAUGGAGCUUAUAAACGCAAGAGUAGAUCAUGUCACUUGAUCUUAAUAUAAUAAGAUCUUAAACCAACUGACCCCUACUCUAAUGUUUUUGGUUGGGGCGACCAUGGGAUAAAACUAAACUCCCACGAAGAAUAAAAACACAAUAUUUUUCAAUUUAAGAACAACAGUUCUAAAAAACAGAACUUCUGACUUUUAUUGAUCCGGCCUAGGCCGAUUAACGAACCGAGUUACCCUAGGGAUAACAGCGCAAUUCUCUUUUAGAGUCCCUAUCGACAAGAGAGUUUACGACCUCGAUGUUGGAUCAGGACAUCCUAAUGGUGCAGCCGCUAUUAAGGGUUCGUUUGUUCAACGAUUAAAGUCCUACGUGAUCUGAGUUCAGACCGGAGUAAUCCAGGUCAGUUUCUAUCUAUGAUAUGAUCUUUUCUAGUACGAAAGGACCGAGAAGAAAAGGCCUCUACUCUAAGCAAGCCUUUCCCCUAUUUAAUGAAGACAACUAAAUUAAACAAAGGGGCAUGAGUCUUUAUAAGCCAAGAUAAUGCUGU